UUGCGUUUAAAUACCGGUUCCCGUACGAUCACCGAGGUUAAGCAACGUCGAGCCUUGUCUGUACCUAAAUUGGUGACCGCUUGGGAAUAACAGGUUCUGUAAG